UAUGUAAAAAAUAAAUAAUACGCGCACACAAAGGUUUAUAGAAAAGUUCUGGAUGGAAAUAUACAGAGGUUUGUCUGAAGCUAAGUCAGGCAGCCGGUCACAGCACACCACACCAUACCCGAGGGCGAUAGGAGUAUGGGACGGCUGACAAUCAGCUAGCUUGAUAGCUUUUUUUCUUUUUUCUUGUCGACUAUUUAAAGCCCGUUGCACCUCCUUGGGGGAAUAUCUCCACCAAGAUCGGAGAGGAAGCAGUUACGCCGCACUUUGCGGUUUAAAUAAUAAAAUAUCUGGUACUUGACUGGUAGAUGAUGGGCUGUUCUUAAUAGACUUAGUUAUGGUUCGAGUCUCAUCCAAACAGUUUUUGUUGUGUCUGUAGUGCGACCCCAGGGGGGAAGUGAAGCCGUCAUCGCGUCAUUCGCCAAUAAGCAACGCGUCUCGUCUCGUCUCGUCUGUACGACCUCGAUGCUGUGCUCUCCCUCUCUUCUUCCGGACUUCCUCUCGCUUGCUUACGUACACAGCACAAAAGUGUGCGCACGGCAGGCGGCUGUCGAUUCUUGUCUAAAUUUAAAUUUGCCCUAUUUAUUUGGAAGCUUUAAUUGUUAUCAAUUGCGUAGAUAACUUUAAAGAUACCAAGCAAAUAUGCAAAUUGUGAGCUAUGGAAUUUUCCCUUCUAAAUCACGGGAUUGCCGGCCGGCUUUUUUCCCUCAUUCCAUUCCAAUGCAUCUUAUUGUUUGAAAAGGAGGAUUAUAUGCCUACGAUCUGUCUGAAUGAAGAAGAACAUACAGGUGCAGCUGGGCGCUCAAAUCAACUGUCAAGUAAACAAGAGGCUGGCUGAUAGCUCAACAAUUCACAAUCAAGAGCCAGAAAAUAACCUUGGAGAAUAGAAUCGUGGUUUGCGAGCAAACAUAAUCAAGUUUUCAAAGUGCCAUAACAAUAAUCACACAGUCUACGUAUGGAAACGAAACGCAGGAGUGUUUACGGUGGCAAAGAUUAUGCGAAUAAACAAAUUGCCGAUAAGAGUGAACUACGCAAAAAGCGAGUAAAUUUUAAAAAUAUAUUUUUUUGGAAGAUAAAGCCGGGGAAUAGAAAAUAUCCCCCCACUUGUAUUGAUACAAAAACGAGCUGUAAGUGUAUCAGUGUGUAAAGUUUCCUCUUCGUACCCUACCUUCCUAUGCUUCCCUUGUGCUGCUUUUAUCACUAGCAUGGACUGCUGAUGGAAGGAAAAAAACAUGCGGUUCGAGCUUUUCGCAGAGAGAGUGAAAGAAAGAGAGCCCAAUUUGUGAGAGCGAGAGAGAGAGCGAACAGAAGAUAAGGCGUAUCUCUCUUUCGGUAUUACUUCAUAGCAUGGCAUGACGAAAGUAAAACAAGGGGACGCAAUGAAUAAAUACACCGUUUGGAGCGCUCUCAAAGUGUCAACUAUAAGGGGUAGGAGGAGUGGGGUAAGGAUGAUCCCUGAUCCUAUUUAAAGGGAUCAUAAAUGGUGGGGUUUGGAUCUCCUCCCAGACUGAAGAAGGGCAGACGGAAAGUUCUGUGCGCUGUUACUCUUUUGCUCUUUGCGCCACCUUCUAGUUUUUUGCAUCUUGACUUCACGGACAGAAACACACAGCCACACAGCCACAACAGCAGGCGCGAUAUGUGAGAGUGAAUGUGUGUUUGUGUUGUAAAGAAGCAGAAAAUUAUUGCGCAGCAAAAUGAAAUUAUGAUGAACACUGGGUCGAAGAUAUAUAUAUAGCCAUUGCUUAAUAAUGCAUAAACAUUAACACAUCGUAUCGUCAAAUCGAAAUUAAUAUAGUAGCAACCUGCAAGGAGGUGGCGGAAAAAGUUGCCAAAACAAAAAAUAAGAACCGGCAUUUUGAAAUGUUUCCCAUAUAACAAAUCCAUACAUUGGCACCGUACUGAAGUACACACACACAUGCAUAUGCCGCGCUUUGACAACGGUAUUGGUAGAACUUUUAGAAUAUAAGAGCCAUACACACACACAACACACACAUGUAUUUAUUUCUACGCUUGUUUUGCAUUUACCCAACAUGUUUGCUGCGCUGUUGUUGUCGUUGUCGUUGUUGCUGUCGCUCUCUCGCCUUUUAAUCGCAACGCAAUUUGUCUAAGCAACGCCCGCCUCGGUUCUGUGCGGCACGUUUUUGCAAUGCGUAGAUAAAAUUGCUACCGGUCGGUAUUCCGGCUGCUGCUGGUUCCGCUACUUUGUAGUUUCGAUGAUUGUAUUUGGGGCUAAUUUUAACCCCUUUUUGGAUUGAUUUUCAAGUUAAAAUGCAAAACGAAGCCGCCUCUAAUUUCGAUAUCCACAUCUUAUUUUUCACUCACUAGGCCAGUUCUAUCCACUAAAAUGGCAACAAAUCACGAUGAGUGGAGCGCACGGAAUAUUUUCGACUAUAGCUGACUAAUGGGUGGAAGAUAACGGAAUUGGUUGGUGGCUGCGGAAAAGGUUUGGUGCACAAUUAAACCAAUGGGCGAAAGAAGUAAUUUAAAAAAUAAAAAACACGGACAAACUUUAGCGGACCUAACGUACUCGGCGCCAACGAGGAAAGAAUCGAACACGCGCCCGUUCGCGAACAAGGGACAAGCAGCAGCAGCCAAAAAAACUACCGCCGACGUGACGCAAGAGGGAGCUUAUUUUGCCGGAUGAGAGCGCGCCAGCAUGAGAGCGAGAGUGUACUGUUGUUGUGACUUGUAAUAAAUAAGUGUGCUUAUGUUUGCCUGUGUAUGUUUCUCUCUUUACACGUGCCAAAGAGCUACAUACAUAUGUACUGCGGAUAGGGAAAGAGCAACGCAUAACCAGAAGUCUCCACAAAGUGCCGCAGAUAUCGCUUUAGCAUAGCACAUUAGCCACCAAUAAGAUUCUCUUAUGACAAAGGAAAUAAUAGGGAAACCUGCCGGAAGAAUAACAAAUUCUGGUUGCACACAUGGACGGAUCUUGAAGAUCAGGUUUGAAAUGUUACAUGACAUUUCCACACAAAGAAAUGCAUGUGUAUAUUUAUAUCGGACGGCAACCGGAAUAAUAAAAGUAUUUUCGGUUUGAUGCUCGUAUUAUGAUUGAAAUCACUCGCAACGUCCCGAAAGUUCCCAUAUACCUCA